rnacentral:lncRNA from 1 species
ACUUGUGUGGAGGCCAGGCCAGCGGUCAGGCUAAGGGGUCCUGCCUCAGGAGCCUUUGGCUUCAGUUUUCUGAUGCAGGGUCUCACAGGAGCUGGGAUUUACCAAUUAGGCUCAGCUAACUGGCCAGUGAACCCCAGGGAUCCACUUGCCUGUCUCCGUAGCACUGAAUUAAACGCAGGUGCACACAUCACCUGGCUUUAUUUUCGUGUGGGUUUUGGGGGUGUUUGGAGGUCAGGCCCUCGGCUUGCACAGCAGGUGCCUUACUGACUGGUCCAGCAUCCCACUGGCCAAAGACUUUUUAAAAGGCAGAAAUGAUAACUGAGUUUUAAUCUGCACUGGUAUAUUAAUAAACCUAUAUAGAAAUUUUAACUAUUCUUCUAAGAGGAGAACUUGCACAUUUUAUAGGAAUUAAAUAAAUAGAAGUUUUUUAGAGGGUGCUUUUAGUACUGAUUUCAGACUUGGAAGGAUAGCUUUUUAAUGUUCUGCUCCUAUAUACAUAUUUGUUAGACUUGACGGUCCUCUGACGAGUGUAUGCAUCAGGAUGCACCUCAAACCAAAAAUAUCCUACAGGGGUUUAUUUAGAGAAUGACAUGUGUACACUGUUAAGUGCUGAUAGUGGAUGCUGCAAUUCCGCUCUCUGGUUGAGAUGCACACGCAAGCUUAGACAUCUUGGUAACGGGUUGGGUGAGGAAGAGUGUAUUGAGUGGGAUUGUGCGCACACAGGGAUGCAGGCUCCUUUCCUCACGUGGUAAUGUCCUAAGGGGGGUGUUCUCGUCACUACUCACCGCUCUAACGAUCUCACCAUAGACAAGCCAUGUGUGUGCAGCCUCUUCUUCCCAGCAAAUGUUAGCUUCACCAUCAGCAAUGUGAGUUCGGGACACAAGCAUUACCUCAGGUUGCUGCCUGUUUCUAUAGGGCAGCUACUUUCCUGCCUUAGCAUAGUAGAAUUAAAAUGUACUUGGUGCUUUAUUGUUUCCAUGUGGAGCUCACCGCCAUCUCAGCAGGAACCAGUGUGUGUUUCUCAACUGUGUUAGCCAGGGCUGAAAAUGUGCCUUCUGUUUGCACUUCCUCGACUGCUAGGGAGGUGGAGCAUCUCCCUGGCCUGCAGGUCAUUUGAGCUUUGUUUCUGUGAAUUGUACAUUGCUAUCCGUCUCACUUUGUAGCACACCUAGGAGAUCAUAUUACACAUGGGCAAUUUGUUGUCUUCAUCUAGAAUAUGUCAUUUGCCCUUUU